rnacentral:lncRNA from 1 species
GAAUGUCGUAAGGUGGGUUAAUUAGUUAAGGCAGGAACUGGCUGUUUCACUUCUUUGUGGUUUUUCGGCUGCUCCAGACUUCUUGGCUCCUGCAGGCCACCUGGACGGAUAUGUGCAGGUCACAGGGGUUACAAUGGCUAAGCUUCAGCUCAGAGGCCUG